rnacentral:lncRNA from 1 species
AUGGCGGCGCCGACCCCAGCGAAGACGAAGAGAAAGGUGAGGACCACCUCAGCUAGCACGGCGCGGAUGCAGCCGGGCUCGGCCGCCUCGUGGUGGUUCCCGAGCGCGAUCUUGGCCAUGUUUGGGACCCGAGACUAGUAGCCUUUCGGUGAGUUCCUACCUUCUCGUUUCCUUUGCCUCUCAGUGCUGCUGCAUUAUAUAGGCACAGGGGGAGAGAGAGAGAGAGAGAGAGAGAGAGAGAGUACGUAUUAAUGAUCAUUAAUUGCAGUUGCAGUAAGUAAGAAUAGAGCCAGCAGUGUCUGUCCAGUUCGUGAAUGCUGGUUUCGGUUUCAUUUUCUUUUGGGUUUUAAGUCAAAUUAUUUCUUAAUUAAUUAUAAGAGGAUCCUUUAAAAACUAAUAUCAAACACUUAAAUUUUAGAGUUUAAUAUAGAUUAAGUCAUUAUUAACAACUAAAUUAUGAGUUCGGAAAAUGUCUCCAUUCGUUUGUUCAGCAAUAGGAAAGGCAGCUACAAGACAAUAGUGCUUUCCCUAAUACAGAACCAGUAUGGGUGUGCAUUGUCAGCCUCCUCAUCAGUCUCAGCCAAUCCCUGGAGACGACGACUUCCGGUGGAUGUCAUUUUCUGAUAGCAUGAUUGAGUGUGCACACUCUGUAGGUGGUGGACUUCGCCUUUUGGCCUUCUUCGACGCUCAAUCAUGUUCUCCGACACUCAGCGGUGGAGCUUUCUGGUCACGGAGAUGGCGGUCUGCGCUUCACGACAGCGAAGCCAUCAUGUGCGAGAGCAAUCAGUCGCCUUUAAUAAUUCCUCGAUAGAUGACGAAGACAGCUCAAUGGAGAUGUGGCAUCCACGGCUCCCUCAUCUGGUUGACUUCUCGUGGAUCCGCACGCAACGAGGUUUGAAGUACCGCGUGCUCAUGCAAGCUUCGUUUUCUUGGUUUCUCUCCUCCACCGGAUUCAUAUUAUUCUAUUCUUUGGGCUUUUAAUUCAAGAAAACAUUUAAUUUUUAUUUUUAACGUAGACGAAGAUUUAAUAUUCUCUUUAAAUGAGAGAAAGCUUAUGAGCAAAAAAAGGAAAUUGACAUCAUAUAUACAUAUAGGGUCAGUUGUCUUAGAUCUCUACCGCUCGCUCACGUUGACGACUGUGCAAAGGAGCGGAUGGACGGUCCGGAUGAAGAUAAUGGUGUAGGAACAGCUGAGACCGUGAUUCGAGACGCAAUCGGAGUCGGGUAGUAUUUGGAGAGAAUCCCCAAGCACGUGAUGGCCACGUGCAUAACUGGAACGGGGAGCGCAGAGAGAGAAAGAGAGAGAGAGAGAUGGCGGAUGGCGAGGUCUGUUCUCAUGGCCGCUGCCGCCGCCUCCAUCCAAAUCGCUGUCCUCUGCCUGACUCUCUUGUCGUCCCGGUUCUCCCCCAACCCUCCGUUGGGCCUCGGCUCCGCCCCUCAUUGUACGUUUCCUCUCGCCCCCUGGGUUGCUCCCCCGGGUAAGCUAUGUGUCUUAUGUCUUCGUCAACCCUAGCUCUUCAAUUCCACCUUUUUCUUGAUCUAUUGGAGACAUCCGACGUCCUUCCUUUUGGAUAGUAUAUGUCGAUUUUCGCAUCAAGAUUCCUUCGCUAGCGGUGGCUGGCGAUAACUCGAUCAUUCUUUCAAUUCCUUCGCUAAAUGGUGUGUUUUAUUCAACUGAUUAGCUUUGGAUCACGAAAAUAGUCUCUCUACUCACAAGAUCCGCAGAUGGCAAUUUCUUUGAAAUAACACAUAUUUUAAUCAAAUUAGGCAUUUCCAGUUGAUUUCAGCAUUUGAUUGAUUGGUAUUGUGCUUGGUGUCUUUAGGUGCUUUUCGUUGAUAUAUUAUUGACUGCGACCAUUUCUUUCGCUCCAAGAUUGUAUCUUUCUUGCACUAUACUUACUUUGUUCCUUUAUUUAAAUGAUUGUUUCUUUGAAGCAAGUGAUGUUCGAUUAAAUUAUGCAUUCUCAUUUUCUCCUCCCGUCUUCUAAUUUAAUUUUUAUGGAACCUUAAUUAAAUAGGAUUUGUAGGACUAUUGAAGUCAUUGACUGAAAUUUAUAGGAACAAAACUUAUAGGUCAUGCAUGACAGUAGAACUAAUUGUUUAUUAUUCUUCCAGCUUCAAUUUGAUGAGUUACUGAUAUGUUUUUUUAUACUUCUUCUUGUCUAAGUCCAUAAAAUGAUGUGAACAACUCAGUUCUUGUUUCAUACAAUAAUGUAUUGGCUAUACAUCUGGAGCAGUUGUAUGGAACAAGAAAUUCUAGAUUGAUAAGAAGAGCGAUUUUUAUCAAGGCCAGUUGUUCCAGCAACAUGGCACAGGCAAGGACAUUAUCAAGAAAGAAGAGGCUCUAGACUGGGUGAAAUAAGAACAAAACAAUUGAAGAAUGCUUCAUGAUGUUUAUCGUAAAAUGUCCUCUUUAUUUAUGUUUCACCUUUGUUUGAUGAUUUGUUUUGGACACAACACACUAUCACCUCUGAGUUUGUAUAUGUAAUUGGUGUCAAUUCUACAAACUUGAUUAGACGAAUGGUUUCCUUCGAUAAUGUGUUACGUGGAUUUUACGUCUUCAUGAUGUCAGUGAUGCAUUUAUUUUAGAUAUCUUAGCUGAGCUUUGCUGGUUCUUUCUAAAGACUGAUCUAAUUGGUGUUGCCUUUACAAGAUAAUUGCUAUAUUUUUGGAUUUUUUGUUUCUUAUAUUUGAGUAUGUGAAGACUUCUCAAUUUGAGGAACAAAAAGAGGCAAUUUAAAACAGUUUUUUUUGUUCUUGAACAGUUGAUUUUGCAACUUCUAGUUACUGGCCUGAAAAUUGCCUUCUAAGCUACUUUGAUUGGGACAUGAAUACGUGAAAUUUAAGCUUUAUAGUUAUUAGGCAGACCAAGUCAUGUAAUCAGCUUUAUCAAGCUUUUCAUCACAUUGAAUUCAUUUCUUGUUAGAGCAUAACAUUCUGUAGAUGUUCAACACAAACUCUGCUGAAGGCUAGAGAACUAGCACAUCAUGAUGUCCAGGUUGAAUGAAGUCUUAAUAGGAAUUUUCAUGGUUUAGCAGAAUUUUCACUCUAUGAAUCAGUAACAUCAUGCAACACUUCCUCAUUUACCGUGUGCCUGAGAACAGAGGAUCAUUUUAUUUUGCAGGUAUUUGUGGACUAUAUAGAUUUUGCUAAAGAGUUGGAGUCAUCAACCAUCUCAGAUGAACCUUUUGCCCAACUGGUUUUGUAAAACACCUAAAUCACAUCUCAGUUUGUACAUAGGUUGUUUUGCAAACCAUUUUAGUGGAAGCAAGCAACACAAAUUUGAAAUUGCAUUUAUUGGUAUUUAAGGUAAAUAUUAAACCGAUCUUGUCAUUCACAGUUAACCAUUUUUAUUAUACAAGUGCUUGAUUAUUAUUAUUUUUACAUCGCCUUCGCUAUGUUCAUAUUGGCACGGCAAUCUAGCAUUUGUCUGAUGCCUUCAAUCCAGAUUCCCUCAUCACAUUUUUUGCAUUCAAAUUCGAUUAACCUUUCUGGUGUUCUGAUCCCAAAGUAAGCCCUCUGAUCACUUCCAUCUUCCACUUCUCUUCCAGGCCAUGCUGGUAUGUUGGCGCAGACAUCAAUUACAAAACCUGCAAGAACAGGAACACAGCUUUAUCUACGUGCCAUCGGAAUCGCAGUGUGUAAGUUUUCCUACUAAUCUUACAUUUCUUCUUUUUCACAAAGGUCCCAGCCAUGUGUGUACUUUUUGUUUUGACAACCACCUGCAAUUUGUUGCACUUUCUUAGCUAACAAAAAUAUAGAUCAUGAAAAAUCUUUUAGAUUUUAGACAACUUACCUGCCAAUUGGAGUUUAUGUAUACUGAAACUUGCUUCCAAUGAAGAAUACCUGCCACAGAUGGAUAUCUCAACACGCAUUUAUUUAUAUUACUAACUUUUGACAUAAUAAUGUGGUGAUUGCAGAUUCUGCUCUAAAUAAGUGAUCUUGACAAGUUCAGAUCCUUCAUAACUAUUGUGAUUAGUGCAGUGAGGUCAAUAGUUUUGGCUGAUGAAUUCUGUAGUUGAAUUCAAAGUUCUACGAAAGAACUGUAAUUUAUACCUUUUCUUGUGCGUUUGACGAGCUCUCCACCUUUGGCUACAAAGGUGAAGGCUGAUGAGCAUCCAUCUGAUGAUUCUUUGUCGUCCCCAGCUGCUGUUGCACCUUGAAUCUCCUUGUAAAGCCUUGCCCUCAAUGUCGCUGCGCCUCGUAAGGCUGCAGUACAACAUGCCACAUCUUAGAGCUGGACUACAAGCUGUCAUAAGAGCAAUGCAUGGCUGCUCACAUGAACCUACUUCUCUUGCAUUUAGAUGUUAUAUGAUUCUGAUAGCUAGUGUUUUGCCGACUGUGUUCAUUUUUCGGAUGGCUUGAUCUGUUUGUGGAUGAACUUUUUUGUUUGGAGACCUGAAUGCUUUCUUUUGUAUUGAUCUGAGAUGUUCUUAAUGUGUGCAGACUGAGUCAGAUUGAAGCCUCCAUGAAGAACCAAUACCUGUUGCAGCUCCUGCAGUGAGCGCCAUGAUGUCGCCACUGGUCUGUGCACCAACUGCAGAGUGGACGACCUUCAAGAUCUGAUCAUGGGCGGCGCCCAUCGUCUGCGCGAU